GACGACCGGCGCACGGGUGCGCAACGCGUAUACAACCUGCCCCCCGCUGGGGAAUAGCCCAGAGAAAUUUGGAUUAACGCCCCAUGGCAACUCCGCACGGCAUCGUGCGGCGUUCAAAGGACACGGCGGGGGAUGGGUAUGCGUCCCAUUAGCUAGUUGGUGCGGUAACGGCGCACCAAGGCCACGAUGGGUAGGGGUCCUGAGAGGGAGAUCCCCCACACUGGUACUGAGACACGGACCAGACUCCUACGGGAGGCAGCAGUGAGGAAUAUUGGACAAUGGGCGGAAGCCUGAUCCAGCCAUGCCGCGUGCAGGAAGACGGUCCUAUGGAUUGUAAACUGCUUUUGUACGGGAAGAACAAGGGCCACGCGUGGCCCUCUGACGGUACCGUAAGAAUAAGGAUCGGCUAACUCCGUGCCAGCAGCCGCGGUAAUACGGAGGAUCCGAGCGUUAUCCGGAAUCAUUGGGUUUAAAGGGUCCGUAGGCGGGCCGUUAAGUCAGGGGUGAAAGUCUGCAGCUCAACUGUAGAACUGCCCUUGAUACUGACGGCCUUGAGUUGCGGUGAAGUGGCCGGAAUAUGUAGUGUAGCGGUGAAAUGC
rnacentral:rRNA from 1 species